CCUACGGGAGGCAGCAGUGGGGAAUAUUGCACAAUGGGGGAAACCCUGAUCCAGCGACGCCGCGUGAGUGAAGAAGUAUCCCGGUACGUAAAGCCCUAUCAGCCGGGGAGCUAAUGCCGGUACCUGACCAAGGAGCCCCGUAUAACUACGUGCCAGCAGCUGCGGGAAUACGUAGGCGGCAAGCGUUAUCCGGAUUUACUGGGUGUUAAGGGAGCGUAGGCGGCAGCACAAGUCUGGAGUGAAAUUCCGGGGCUUAACCCCGGAACUGCUGUGGAAACUGGGAGGCUGGAGUGCAGGAGGGGUAAGCGGAAUGCCGAGUGUAGCGGUGAAAUGCGUAGAUAUUAGGAGGAACACCGGUGGCGAAGGCGGCAUACUGGCCUGUAACUGACGCUGAGGCACGAAAGCGUGGGGAGCAAACAGGAUUAGAUACCCCGGUAGUC
rnacentral:rRNA from 1 species